AUUGAACGCUGGCGGCAUGCCUUACACAUGCAAGUCGAACGGCAGCACGGGGGCAACCCUGGUGGCGAGUGGCGAACGGGUGAGUAAUACAUCGGAACGUGUCCUGGAGUGGGGGAUAGCCCGGCGAAAGCCGGAUUAAUACCGCAUACGCUCUAAGGAGGAAAGGGGGGGAUCUUUCGGGACCUCUCGCUCAAGGGGCGGCCGAUGGCAGAUUAGCUAGUUGGUGGGGUAAAGGCCUACCAAGGCGACGAUCUGUAGCUGGUCUGAGAGGACGACCAGCCACACUGGGACUGAGACACGGCCCAGACUCCUACGGGAGGCAGCAGUGGGGAAUUUUGGACAAUGGGCGCAAGCCUGAUCCAGCAAUGCCGCGUGUGUGAAGAAGGCCUUCGGGUUGUAAAGCACUUUUGUCCGGAAAGAAAACCCCGGCCCUAAUACGGUGGGGGGAUGACG
rnacentral:rRNA from 1 species